AGCAUCUGUGCAGAUUACAGGUCAUUUCUUUCCCGACAUAGAUUUUUCAUGAGAAUAUUUGUAAUUUAGAGCACACACUCUGAAGUCAGUGAGAUCUGCGUUUGCAUCCCAGCUCCGCUACCUACUAGCUGUGUGCCUUGGGUCUCGGGGAGGGACGUGGCUGCUGUCCCUGUGUAAGAGGUCACACCAGGGUUGCCGCAGCAGCUCCUAACUGGGACCCCGCUGCCAGCCGGCAGCCCACAGCCUCCGCUCCGCACAGCAGCCUCCUGUCCUGACGCCCAUCCAGAGGGAAGGCGCACCCCGCAUCCCGCAACGGCCACGUGUGUUCUUCCUGGCACUUGUGGUGGACACUGUAUCUCGCCCCUCGUGGUUUUCUUUUUUGUCUUCACUGCCAGAAGGUGCGCUCAGCAGGCAGGGACUUGGCUUGGUCGGUGCAUCUAGAGCGGCGUCCAGCACAGAGCAGGUGCUCAAGAAGCAUUUGGCGGAUGAACGAAAAAAUGCAUGCUCAGAGACGCCAGAGCCCAACCCUCCCUGACGACGCCCCCAGACCCUCGCCCUCCUUGCCCCUCCUCUCCCUCCCCGCCUUGUGCUUGAGCACCAGGCCCUGUGCUUG
rnacentral:lncRNA from 1 species